CAAUAUAAGUGAUGGCGACCGGCGCACGGGUGAGUAACACGUAUCCAACCUGCCGAUAACUCGGGGAUAGCCUUUCGAAAGAAAGAUUAAUACCCGAUGGUAUAAUAAAACCGCAUGGUUUAAUUAUUAAAGAAUUUCGGUUAUCGACGGGGAUGCGUUCCAUUAGGCAGUUGGUGAGGUAACGGCUCACCAAACCUUCGAUGGAUAGGGGUUCUGAGAGGAAGGUCCCCCACAUUGGAACUGAGACACGGUCCAA
rnacentral:rRNA from 1 species